AAAAAGCCGAGAGAGAAAAGCCGCAAAAUGUACAAGACGAAGCUGCAGGAGCUGUGCCACCAGAGAGCAUGGGACCUGCCGGAUUACGCCACCUUGAAAGAAGGACCGGAUCACGAUCCUCGCUUUCAGGCCACCGUCACUGUCAAUGGCCUUUCCUUUCAUUCCCAAUCUCUGGCUAAAUCUUCUAAACAAGCCCAAAAUGACGCCGCGAAGUUUGCCUUCGAUCACUUCUCUUCCUCUGGCUCUUCUCCUCCUCCGCCUGUUUCUUCAAGCGCAAUCGCGGAUGUUAGUAGUAAUCUUUC
rnacentral:misc_RNA from 1 species